UGAAAGCUACCUUAAAUGGGUAAAAAUAAACACAAUUAACAAACGAGAGAUAAGGGCAACGGGACAGCUACGAUGAGGGUGAUAAACUGAAGAAUGUAAGAACGCUUGUUUUUAGAAUGAGAAGAGAGUUAUGCACAUACAAUAUAAAACACUUAAAGUGGGGAAUGUAGGAAAAGAUAUUAUAAUUUUCACUACCGAAUAUUACUAAAAUGGAAAUGCUCAUCCAAGAAUUAAGGAUGGGGUAACGCACGUGCCAUUUUUAGGAAACUGGGAUGAGACUAACCACACUGUUAUAAAGUCUGUUAUAAGUCUGUUAUAUACAUAAAAGAGCAAAACUAUUUGUCUUCAACAAUACUUGCAAUAAGGAUAUAAGAAAGUAAUAAAUAACAAUCAAGUAACGAGGAACAAAAUCAGAAGUGAGCAGUACCAUAAUAACAAUUGGCGUACAAUAUUUUUGUCUAUGUCUUGUGAAGCUAUCAGUGAACCUCUUAUGUAGAUUCUCCCAGAUCCUGUAGUGAAGCAGUGAUUCUAACUCCUUCAUACCCAAACAUCAGUCGAG